rnacentral:lncRNA from 1 species
UUGCCCUUAAAUAAAUUGUCAGUGAUAAUUAACUACUUAUAUAUGGCAGGCAUGAUAGGUUGAAAUAUGUCUUCAAGAUGAUAAGAGGAUACAGUACCACAACGAAUAUGUUAGAUGCUAUAAGGUGAUUUCAUUUCUCUGUGCAUAUGCUAGAACUGAACCACCAACACUGAGCAUCAUCAAUGUGUGCCACUGUAAUCGCUGACCAGAUUGGUACUUAAGUGCUCGAUAUGCAGCCUGAACUACUGCAGGUACUUUGUGUGGUUCUAACUAUCCAUGUUUAUAUUUAAAUGUCAAUAAGAUCAGUAUGGAUGUGGAGCCAUGGUUCUGCUCACUAGCGACAAUGUGUAUUCUUGCAGUUAGAAUGGAGUUGUUUUAAAUACUAGACUAUCUACAGGACUGAGCGCUACAGGUGCAGAGGAUAGUUCUUUCGAUUAAUUGUCGUGUUGAGGCAAGUGCAUGGCGGACCUUUUCUCCGUAUACUUGACUGUGUUGUUGACGCAG